UCCCAGCUACUCAGGAGGCAGAGGAGGGAGGAUGGCCUGAGCCAGGUAGGCCAAGAUUUCAGUGAGCUGAGAUCAUGCUGCUGCACUCCAGACUGGGCAACAGAGUGAGACCCUGUCUCAAAAAAAAAAAGAAAGAAACAUGCAAGAAAUAAUUACCAUAAUAAGUACAUUGUAGCACAUGUUAGGGGGUGACGAAUGCAAGGGAAAAAAAGAGUAAGUACAGAGAUGAGGAGUGUUGGGUGGGCAGGCAGUGGCUGUAUUGAGUGGAGUGUUCAGUGGAUGCCCUGAGACUAUCCGAAGGGCAAAUUCUUCAGGAAGAGGAACAGCUCAUGCAAAAGCUCCAAAAGGAAGCUGACUAGCUGACUGGUGUGCCAUCGGAGAAGGUGGAGCCAACAGGAUUGCUGAUGGUCUAGAUGUGGAGUUUGAGGGAAAAGGAGGUGUCAAGGUGCUUCCAAGGUUUCUUGGCCUGAACGGUGACAGGUAUGGAACUGCCAUCAAAUGACAUGGAGCGAGGUGUUUGGGGGAAGCCCAGGUUCAGCUUUGGUUCUGUGGAGUCUGUCAUGUCUUUUGACAUCCUCAAAGAGACAUCAGCCACAAAGGCAGAUGUGGAAGGGGAGCUCUCUCACAGUUGGCACCACCCAGGCUGCCCUGGUGGGCAAUGAGUGUCCCAUCUCUGAGGUGAACCAGGGGAGGUGAGAGGAAGCAAGGCAUGUCGGCUGAGUAGGGGCUGUGGUGAGUGUGGAGGCCCUGUGCUUCUGAGAACCGUCUCCACUCCCUCUGCUUCUCUGUUCUCGGUGCUCCCUCACUUCCCCAGAGGGGAUGUGCCCAUGGGCUCUCACAUCUCUAUCAUCUCCCCCCAUCUCCGCACCCCCACAGGCCACCCGAGUUCCCCGUCACCUCCUUAUUAAGCCAUUUUUCUCUUCCUGCCAUUUAAUCUUUCUUUGGCCCAGAACUUCUGGAAGGCUGGGCAAAGGUGACAUCUGGCCCUUCUACUUGGCCCCACAAGACACUAGAGAAAAAUGUUAGUGUCUUAGACUAUCAUGGCUGGUCCGGCCCUUAGUUGUGUGUCAGCAUGCAGAGUGUGUGUGUGCAUGCAUGUGCAUGUGUGCCAGCGUGCACACAUUGUUGUGUAUGGCAGGGAUGCAUGUCUCUGAGGCAGCCUGGAGUGAAGGACAAAAUGCCUGGGUUCUGAAACCAGAACAGACCUGCAAGGCUUGCUGAGUCAUCCAGGACAGACCUGCCAGGUUUGCUGAAUCAUCCUCCAGCUAUGGUCCCUUUCUCCUAGUCCUCGAACCUACCAAGUUCUUCCUGCCCCAGGGCCUUUGCCCUUGCUAUGCCAUCUGCCUGGAACUUUUCCUGUAUCUUUCCAGGCUCUUCCUUCUUCUUCAGGUCUCAGAUCAAAUAUUUGCUCCUCAGAGAGGCCCUCCCUGAUCACUCAUCAAGCAUCAUGCCCCACCUAAUCCCUGCAGUUUGUCUCUAAUCCAUAACUCUUCCUUAUUUUAUUUGUAGCACUUGUCAAGGUUUGAAAUUAUCCCAUUUAUGUAUUAAAUUAUCUUUUUUUUUUUUUUGAGGCUGAAUCUCGCUCUGUCGCCCAGGCUGGAGUGCAGUGGCUCGAUCUCUGCUCACUACAACCUCCACCUUCUAGGUUCAAGUCAUUCUUGUGCCUCAGCCUCCCGAGUAGCUGGGAUUACAGAUGCCUACCUCCACACUUGGCUAAUUUUUGUAUUUUUUCAGUAGAGACAGGGGUUUCACCAUGUUGACCAGGCUGGUCUCAAACUCCUGACCUCAAGUGAUCUGCCUGCCUCGGCUUACCAAAGUGCUGGGAUUACAGGCGUGAGCCACUGUGCCCCGCCAAACUGUCUUUUGUCUGUCUCUUCUUCCCCAUCAGAAUGUAAGAACCUUGAGGGCAGAGAUGCUGCAUCUGCAGGUCUAGCACAGAGCCCAGCACCUACCAGGUGUUCAGUGAAUGUUUGUCAAAUGAAUGAAGGAAUGUAAAGUGUUCAGCACAAUGCCUGACACAAUAAAAAAUCAAAAUUGCUGGCUCUUGUUGUUAUAUAAAUGUUAGUGACUAUUAUUGCUAUUUAUGAGGACUACAUGUCACUCAGCAAUUCUUAGAGCAGGUAGUUAUUUGAGUCCUGUGUAAUGGAGUAUCAUAGGAGAAACGGGGAUAUAAGACUCAGUGGGUACUGUUGAGGAAUAGACAAUAUAGCUGGGAAGGCAGGAACUCAGGAAAAAUAAUCAUGAUGUGUUGAGCUGAUCAUGCAUUGAGUUAUUCUAACAAGACUGGAAGUGAGUAUAAUUACCCUACUUUUAGAUUAGAAACUGAGGCUCAGAGAGGGUGAUACGCCUAAGGUCACCCAGUGUGUCUCGAAAGCACUUAGCUCAGUGUCUGUGGAAACUCAGUGGCCAAUGUGUCAUCUGCACGUCUGUCUGGACCGCCCUGGGGCAUCUCCAGCCCUUGCGUGUACCUGGGCACACUCCAUGCACAUGGACACAGGGCGGUGGGCUUUGGGUGCCUGUGCUUCUCACAACUCUGAGGCUCCUGGUGGAGAGGUCCAUGCUGAGGAGCACUAGGGGUCUGAGAGGUCUUUACCCCUGGGGUACAGGGUCUGGGCUGAGGAUGCCUUUGUCCUGUGACUGGAAGAAGCAGCUUUUGCGUGGGCGUCAGGCAUAACAUGGGGCAGGCCCAGCUGGCACACAACAGGGGCAGGGGAGGCCUGGGAGGGUGAAGAAUCAGGAUGCACUGUGCUCUUGAGGACACCACACCUGCAUUGGCCAACACCUGGCUGUGUCGGCGCACACAUGUGUACACACGGACACACACAGGCACACAAGUAUACACACACAUCUCUCACAGUCUCUUGCUCCCCUAGGCAUGCUGACAACCCCUGCUCACACUGGCUGAGUCACUCUGCAUGUCAAGGGCCCUCCCAGUUCCCCAGCCUGACUGGUGUCAUUCAAGCUUUUAGCGUUGCAAUGACCGGGCUGUGUCCAUCCUGCUCACCAGACAUCCACAGAGACCCGUCCAGGGCCAGCACAGAGUGAGCACUCAGAUUUGUGUAAAAAAUAAAUUCACAGCUCAGCACGGUGGCUCACACCUGUAAUCUCAGCACUGCAGAGGCUGAGGCAGGCAGAUCGCUUGAGCCCAGGAGUUUGAGACCAGCCUGGCCGACAUAGCGAAACCCCAUCUCUACAGAAAAUACAAAAAUUA
rnacentral:lncRNA from 10 species